rnacentral:tRNA from 1 species
GGGUCGUUAGCUCAGCUGGCAGAGCAGCUGACUCUUAAUCAGCGGGUCGUAGGUUCGAACCCUACACGACCCACCA